rnacentral:lncRNA from 1 species
UCCCAGACCCUCGCGGAGUCUCUGCCCGGCUAUGGAGCAGUGUGGAGGAACCCUCCUCCUGUGGGGUAACAGUCUGGCCGGGGGCCCAGUCGUGGGGCGGUGUCUGCAGUCCGGGUCCAGAUCCGCGGCACGCAGAGCCCGGGAGGCCCGAGAGGAACCAGCGGGCAGAGGACUUGGGAAAGGCGCACCGACUUCCCUGCAGGCCUGACUCCGGUCUCCAUGGCGAAAGCAGGCAGGUGGCACAGCCGCGGCUCUCCAUGAGGGAGCAGCUUAGAUUAUAUGCUGUUGGAUUAAAAUGUAAUAAACAUAGGAGUAAAAAAAAAAAAAAAAACUCAGCGUUUCAAGGGUCUGAGGACUCAUCCAGUUCCAAAGAGAAAGAACACUCUCCAUGCCACUGUAAGCCUAGCGUCUGCUUGAACACCUCUGAGGACGGGGAACUCAUUACCUUACAAAGCUGUGCCUUGCCCCUUUUCAGUGUUAUACUUUGAAAACAGAUUUUUAAAAAAAUGAUCGCUUCAUGUUACCGUAUUUUUAUUAAAAUAAGAGAGAGGCCAAUACGGCAAUAGAAGUUGUGCCAGUAUUUUUUGUUUGGUUUUUAAUCUACGAACUUUCUGAACUGUUCAGAAGUCGGGGUUCGCGGGGAAUGCGUGGUCUCGCGCCAUCAGCGAUGACCCUGGGGCGCAGCUCGGGCCCAGGCAACGAGAACUCGGGAGUCUCCGCGGUGAGACCCCAGCUCUCUCCUUCCAGGGUUCUGAAAAUCCCGAGGGGCAGCCCCCAGACCGCUUCCUGGCAGGGCAGAGGCCCAGCCCAGAGGCCCCGCUUCCGCCUGGGAACGCCAACGGCCCAGCUGCCUGGGGAAACAGAAAACGCCUAAAAAGUCGUCUUCGGUAACAGAUCACCAGUCUCUGAGUUUCUUUUACAGGGAGAAGAAAAAAAAUUUUUAAGCCAUGAAAGUUUGGAAAAACAGCAAUUCAACGCGUAGAUCACUCGCUCAAAGACCCCAAACACUUCCUGAUGAGCGGAAUCCAGAGGCGCGGUCAGCACAGGCGAAGCUGAUCCCUCCCCCAAUCCUGCUUAGGAAGUUGUACAAAGUCUUUUGUUUUGGGGGGGAAACAACAAAAGGUAAACAAAAAUGACACUUUGAAAAGGAGAGUCUCUUUGUCUCAGUGGAGUAAAAAGUUCCUGUCCCCAGGGGAAAGCGCCUCGGUCCAGCACGGGUGGCAGGGCCAGUGAGCACCCAGCCGGAGGGAGACCUGUUGAACUUCGCAAAAUUUAAAAAAAUGUAGUCACUGGAAUAGCACCGUAGUUUUGAACACUUCCUCCUGGUAACAAAAUGUGUACUUCUUUUGGUUAUUCUGUGCUCACAUGUGACAUAUCCAAACUGUCUUAUUUAAAAAAAAAUAAUAAUCACCUCUCGCUACAAAGGCACCUGGCACCUGCUCCCAGGCGGGGCGAAGGCCAUGAGCACCUGAGUACUGGGGAGGAUGCCCAGGCAGUUCCUCUGGACUCAGACAUGCUUAGAAAACUCAUCAUUCCACCUGGGACCUUCAGUAUUUUAUAAUAAAG